rnacentral:rRNA from 1 species
CCUACGGGUGGCAGCAGUGAGGAAUAUUGGUCAAUGGGCGCGAGCCUGAACCAGCCAAGUCGCGUGAAGGAUGACUGCCCUACGGGUUGUAAACUUCUUUUAUAAAGGAAUACAGUGAGGCACGUGUGCCUCUUUGUAUGUACUUUAUGAAUAAGGAUCGGCUAACUCCGUGCCAGCAGCCGCGGUAAUACGGAGGAUCCGAGCGUUAUCCGGAUUUAUUGGGUUUAAAGGGAGCGUAGAUGGGUUGUUAAGUCAGUUGUGAAAGUUUGCGGCUCAACCGUAAAAUUGCAAUUGAUACUGGCAGUCUUGAGUGCAGUUGAGGUAGGCGGAAUUCGUGGUGUAGCGGUGAAAUGCUUAGAUAUCACGAAGAACCCCGAUUGCGAAGGCAGCUUACUAAACUGUGACUGACAUUGAUGCUCGAAAGUGUGGGUAUCAAACAGGAUUAGAUACCCGAGUAGUC